UACGUAGGGUGCGAGCGUUAAUCGGAAUUACUGGGCGUAAAGCGUGCGCAGGCGGUUCGUGAAGUCCGAUGUGAAAGCCCUGGGCUUAACCUAGGAAUGGCAUUGGAAACUGGCGGGCUAGAGUGUGGCAGAGGGGGGUGGAAUUCCUGGUGUAGCAGUGAAAUGCGUAGAGAUCAGGAGGAACACCGAUGGCGAAGGCAGCCCCCUGGGCUGACACUGACGCUCAGGCACGAAAGCGUGGGGAGCAAAC
rnacentral:rRNA from 1 species